rnacentral:rRNA from 1 species
AUUGAACUCUGGCGGCAGGCCUAACACAUGCAAGUCGAGCGGAGCGGCGGACGGGUGAGUAAUGCCUAGGACUCUGCCUGGUAGUGGGGGAUAACGUCCGGAAACGGGCGCUAAUACCGCAUACUAUCAGAUUAGCAUAGGUCGGAUUAGCUAGUUGGUGGGGUAAAGGCCUACCAAGGCGACGAUCAGUAACUGGUCUGAGAGGAUGAUCAGUCAAACUGGAACUGAGACACGGUCGAGAAUCCUACGAGAGGCAGCAGUGGGGAAUAUGGGACAAGGGGCGAAAGCCUGAUCCAGCCAUGCCGAGUGUGUGAAGAAGGUCUUCGGAUUGUAAAGCACUUUAAGUUGGGAGGCGUUACCAACAGAAUAAGCACCGGCUAACUUCGUGCCAGCAGCCGCGGUAAAC